rnacentral:lncRNA from 1 species
CAUAGUUACUUCUCCCUUGGCCACAUCAAUCUUGGUUUGAGCCGUUUUCAUGAAAGGUCGUCCAAGUAAGAGUGGUGAUGGUGGAGAGUGGGUUGAAUCCUCCAUAUCAAGCACAUAGAAAUCUGCAGGAAAAAAAUCAAAUGGUCUACCUGCACCCAAAACAUCUUCCAAAACUCCCUUUGGGAUAUGCAUUAGAUCGAUCGGCUAAUUGAAUAAUAACACCAUCAUUUUUAAGCUUUCCUAGAUUCAUAGAUGCAUAAACAGAAUAUGGC